GUCCCUUCGGGGGCUUUUCAUGAAGGUGGAAAAAUACUGAGAAUAUUAGCAUGGGUCUGAUGCAAGGAUGAGAUACACAAAGGAGUAUAGGUGUAAUUUUAU